GAAAAAAAGAAAAUCCCAGACAAAUGCCUUUCCCCAGGCGAAGGAGUAGGGCUGAAGACCUCCUGGAGGGAUGGCGUUCAGCCUGCAAACUUGUUUUCUCCUCCACAGAGUGUUGCAAUUGAGAUCGCUAAAUUGAUUCCUGAAUGACUGAACAGUUUGUCUAGGAAAACAGCAAGAGAGACUGAGCACAGAAUGAACACAGUCGGUGUGGUAUGAAGACAGAUAAAAGUAACUGUCUGUAGAAGGAUGGAUAAGAAAACAGAUUCGUUUUUGUUUUCACUGUCUUAGAACUUGAAUAAAAUGGAGUAUCAGCCUGUGCCAAAGUCUCCAUUUUGAAGACAAUUUGAGGUGCAUUGAUCCCCACGCAGUGCAUCUCUCUCCCUUCUUGUUGAUGCUGACCUCCCUUCUACCUCUUCACACCUUUUCCUGGUGGUGGAAGAGCCUCUUCCCACAGAUUGCUCAGAGUCUUCCUUUGGCAGCCUUUCCCCUUCCCUCUCCAUCUUUGUGCAAAUCUCUGAAAAGCUAUUUUAUCUCUUGCUAACAAGCUGGCGCUGAGCCAGUUCCUCAAAAUCAUUUUGCUGCUCUAAUGUUCUUUCGCAUAAUAGCAUGUAAUCUUCAUGCUGCUUGUAGCAAUUCAGUGCUUCUACGUGAAUCGCACACCUCUUAUUACUGCCUUUUCACACGGCGUACGCAGCAACCUCACCCUCUGCUGAAGCAGCCACUUGCGUCUAGCGUUUUACUGCAUUAGCAAUGCUUUCUAGCUUAUGGCAUCGCCACGGUUCUGCCUUGCCUACUGUAGAGAGCUAAUAAUGAGCAUGCAUCCAAACAUUAAUUGCUAUGCCUUGCUUUCAGUGUUGAUUUCUUUUCCUUACUAGAAUCCAUUGCAGGCAUAAGAAAAUCUCAGCAGUCUAUGAUUUUUGCAUUGCAAACUUUCAGCCAUACCCUAGGAUUAUAGUUCAUAUCUGCAAAUGAGCGAGGAGGGAAAAUAAUUCAGGAGAAUAGGUUCUUUUAAAAAAAAAGCCCGCAACAUUUUCUUAUGCUACAAAUGUUAAGGGAGAAGUUGUUCUUAUUGCUUGAAUAGGUUCAAGCGUGGCAGGGUAUGUCCUCGGGCUCACCGCUGCGCGGAGGGUGUUUCUGUGGGUGCUCCCUCCCUGCCUGGACAGCCUGAGGAAAGCAUCAGCCCCCUGCACCCAUGUAUCCUUUGAGACCCACGAGGGUGCCAUCAGAUCCCACCUGUUUUAUCCCCAGCCUGGCAUCUAUCCUGCAGAGGGAUCUCCGUGGUCCCCAGGAAGCCUUACUGCUCAGCACCCAAGGGGCAACUCUGGGGCCACUGAGGUCCCAUCACCUCUCCAGGGCGUUGGGUUGGGGUCCCGAAGGAGGGGUGUUACUGAGACUGUUCCCCACUGCAGGUGCUGGCAUUCCUUGUGGCCACUGAGCAGAAGGGCACAUCCCCAGGAGGUCCUAGAAUAGGAGAGAAGGAUGUCUCCAAGCGCACCUUGUGCCAUGCCAGGGGUGAACUGGUUGCUCUCGUUUAACUGCCCUGACGCAAGGAGCUCUUUCCCCAGAGGACGCAUUGUGAGAAAUGAAGAGUUUCCAAUAAGCUGCUUCCUCCGGCCUGUGUUGAAAAACGUGAUGGAGUUCUGUUUGUCUGCACCACCUGGAUUUGCAGAUCAAGGAUUUUACUCAGCCUUGAAAGAUGCAGCCAUCUUCUAAGGCCUUGGUGUUGCUGUGGUAUUCAUGUGGCAGCAUAAGCACAGUCCCCUUCUGGGGUGAACAAUGCUUCCCAGAGCUCCUGCAGCGCAACACAGGUGGAUCCCAAGGCGUCUUGGGAAGAAUCAAAGAUGCAGAGAAGGAACAUACAAUCUUACGCACCUGCUGUAACACAGCAACUCAGUGCCCACCAGCACAGCGUGGGCUCGUUUAUUUAAAUGGCCGUGGGAGCAAGAGACCUUUGUUAAGAUCACAAA